AGACAUUUGGGAAUUUCCAAAUGGCAUGCUGCAAUCCACUUCUGCUUUCUUUUUACAUGUUAGGGAGGUCAUCCUGUAUUGAUUUUCAGCAGGGCCCAGCUCAUCUCUCAUAUGAAGUUUGGAGACUGAAGGGAAAUUAGGUGCAUCUGAAUGUGGAUCAGCAUGCUCUUCCAUUCGCAAAUAUUCUGAGUUGGAAGGAGCCCACAAGGAUC